ACAGGUAGUCAGACAGACAGACAGGUAGUCAGACAGACAGACAGACAGGUAGUCAGACAGACAGGUAGUCAGAAAGACAGACAGACAGACAGGUAGUCAGACAGACAGACAGACAGACAGACAGACAGACAGGCAGUCAGGCAGACAGUCAGACAGACAGACAGGUAGUCAGACAGACAGACAGACAGGUAGUCAGACAGACAGGUAGUCAGAAAGACAGACAGACAGACAGACAGACAGACAGGCAGUCAGGUAGUCAGGUAGUCAGACAGACAGACAGACAGACAGGUAGUCAGACAGACAGACAGGUAGUCAGACAGACAGACAGACAGGUAGUCAGACAGACAGGUAGUCAGAAAGACAGACAGACAGACAGACAGACAGACAGACAGACAGACAGACAGACAUGCAGACAGACAGGUAGUCAGACAGACAGGUAGUCAGAAAGACAGACAGACAGGU